CACGUAGGGUGCGAGCGUUGUCCGGAAUUAUUGGGCGUAAAGAGCUCGUAGGCGGUGUGUCGCGUCGGCCGUGAAAACCUGGGGCUUAACUCUGGGCGUGCGGUCGAUACGGGCAUCACUGGAGUUCGGCAGGGGAGACUGGAGUUCCUGGUGUAGCGGUGAAAUGCGCAGAUAUCAGGAGGAAUACCUAUGGCGAAAGCAGGUAUCUGGGCCAUCACUGACGCUGAGCUGCGAAAGCUAGGGGAGCAAACAGG
rnacentral:rRNA from 1 species